rnacentral:rRNA from 1 species
UGUGAAGUUACUUAAACAACCAGGAGGUUGGCUUAGAAGCAGCCAUCCUUUAAAGAAAGCGUAAUAGCUCACUGGUCUAGUGAUUUUGCGCGGAAAAUAUAACGGGGCUAAAGUAAGUACCGAAGCUGUAGACUUAGUUUACUAAGUGGUAGGAGAGCGUUCUAUUUGCGUCGAAGGUAUACCGGUAAGGAGUGCUGGAGCGAAUAGAAGUGAGCAUGCAGGCAUGAGUAGCGAUAAUUAAUGUGAGAAUCAUUAACGCCGUAAACCCAAGGUUUCCUACGCGAUGCUCGUCAUCGUAGGGUUAGUCGGGUCCUAAGUCGAGUCCGAAAGGGGUAGACGAUGGCAAAUUGGUUAAUAUUCCAAUACCAACAUUAGUGUGCGAUGGAAGGACGCUUAGGGCUAAGGGGGCUAGCGGAUGGAAGUGCUAGUCUAAGGUCGUAGGAGGUUAUAUAGGCAAAUCCGUAUAACAAUACUCCGAGAACUGAAAGGCUUUUUGAAGUCUUCGGAUGGAUAGAAGAACCCCUGAUGCCGUCGAGCCAAGAAAAGUUUCUAAGUUUAGCUAAUGUUGCCCGUACCGUAAACCGACACAGGUGGGUGGGAUGAGUAUUCUAAGGCGCGUGGAAGAACUCUCUUUAAGGAACUCUGCAAAAUAGCACCGUAUCUUCGGUAUAAGGUGUGGUUAGCUUUGUAUUAGGAUUUACUCCGAAAGCAAGGAAACUUACAACAAAGAGUCCCUCCCGACUGUUUACCAAAAACACAGCACUCUGCUAACUCGUAAGAGGAUGUAUAGGGUGUGACGCCUGCCCGGUGCUCGAAGGUUAAUUGAUGGGGUUAGCAUUAGCGAAGCUCUUGAUCGAAGCCCGAGUAAACGGCGGCCGUAACUAUAACGGUCCUAAGGUAGCGAAAUUCCUUGUCGGUUAAAUACCGACCUGCAUGAAUGGCGUAACGAGAUGGGAGCUGUCUCAAAGAGGGAUCCAGUGAAAUUGUAGUGGAGGUGAAAAUUCCUCCUACCCGCGGCAAGACGGAAAGACCCCGUGGACCUUUACUACAGCUUGACACUGCUACUUGGAUAAGAAUGUGCAGGAUAGGUGGGAGGCUUUGAGUAUAUGACGCCAGUUGUAUAUGAGCCAUUGUUGAGAUACCACUCUUUCUUAUUUGGGUAGCUAACCAGCUUGAGUUAUCCUCAAGUGGGACAAUGUCUGGUGGGUAGUUUGACUGGGGCGGUCGCCUCCCAAAUAAUAACGGAGGCUUACAAAGGUUGGCUCAGAACGGUUGGAAAUCGUUCGUAGAGUAUAAAGGUAUAAGCCAGCUUAACUGCAAGACAUACAAGUCAAGCAGAGACGAAAGUCGGUCUUAGUGAUCCGGUGGUUCUGUGUGGAAGGGCCAUCGCUCAAAGGAUAAAAGGUACCCCGGGGAUAACAGGCUGAUCUCCCCCAAGAGCUCACAUCGACGGGGAGGUUUGGCACCUCGAUGUCGGCUCAUCGCAUCCUGGGGCUGGAGCAGGUCCCAAGGGUAUGGCUGUUCGCCAUUUAAAGCGGUACGCGAGCUGGGUUCAGAACGUCGUGAGACAGUUCGGUCCCUAUCUGCCGUGGGCGUAAGAAGAUUGAAGAGAUUUGACCCUAGUACGAGAGGACCGGGUUGAACAAACCACUGGUGUAGCUGUUGUUCUGCCAAGAGCAUCGCAGCGUAGCUAAGUUUGGAAAGGAUAAACGCUGAAAGCAUCUAAGCGUGAAGCCAACUCUAAGAUGAAUCUUCUCUAAGCUCUCUAGAAGACUACUAGUUUGAUAGGCUGGGUGUGUAAUGGAUGAAAGUCCUUUAGCUGACCAGUACUAAUAGAGCGUUUGGCUUAUCUUU